rnacentral:rRNA from 1 species
GACGUUACCUACACGAAGAAGCACCGGCUAACUCCGUGCCAGCAGCCGCGGUAAUACGGACGGGUGCGAGCGUUAAUCGGAAUUACUGGGCGUAAAGCGCAUGCAGGCGGCCUGUUAAGUCAGAUGUGAAAGCCCGGGGCUUAACCUCGGAAUUGCAUUUGUAAACUGGCAGGCUAGAGUCUUGUAGAGGGGGGUAGGAAUUUCAGGUGUAGCGGUGAAAUGCGUAGAGAUCUGAAGGAAUACCAGUGGCGAAGGCGGCCCCCCUCGGACAAAGACUGACGCUCAGAUGCGAAAGCGUGGGGAGCAAACAGGAUUAGAUACCCCUGGUAG